GGGCGCAUAGCUCAGUGGGAGAGCACCUGCCUUACAAGCAGGGGGUCGCAGGUUCAAAUCCUGCUGUGCCCA
rnacentral:tRNA from 1 species